rnacentral:rRNA from 1 species
GACGAACGCUGGCGGCGUGCUUAACACAUGCAAGUCGAACGGAAAGGCCCUGCUUUUGUGGGGUGCUCGAGUGGCGAACGGGUGAGUAACACGUGAGUAACCUGCCCUUGACUUUGGGAUAACUUCAGGAAACUGGGGCUAAUACCGGAUAGGAGCUCCUGCGGCAUGGUGGGGGUUGGAAAGUUUCGGCGGUUGGGGAUGGACUCGCGGCUUAUCAGCUUGUUGGUGGGGUAGUGGCUUACCAAGGCUUUGACGGGUAGCCGGCCUGAGAGGGUGACCGGCCCCAUUGGGACUGAGAUACGGCCCAGCCUCCUACGGGAGGCAGCAGUGGGGAAUAUUGCACAGUGGGCGGAAGCCUGAUGCAGCAACGCCGCGUGCGGGAUGACGGCCUUCGGGUUGUAAACCGCUUUCGCCUGUGACGAAGCGUGAGUGACGGUAAUGGGUAAAGAAGCACCGGCUAACUACGUG